UACGUAGGGUGCGAGCGUUUGUCCGGAAUUACUGGGCGUAAAGAGCUCGUAGGUGGUUUGUCGCGUUGUCCGUGAAAACUCACAACUCAAUUGUGGGCGUGCGGGCGGAUACGGGCAGACUGGAGUACUGCAGGGGAGACUGGAAUUCCUGGUGUAGCGGUGGAAUGCGCAGAUAUCAGGAGGAACACCGAUGGCGAAGGCAGGUCUCUGGGCAUUAACUGACGCUGAGGAGCGAAAGCAUGGGGAGC
rnacentral:rRNA from 1 species